CCGCGCAAAGGCGAAUUCUUGGCUGUCAAGUUUCAGCUCAGGUGAGCGUUCCCUUCAGAGAGACUCGGGUGACGUUUGCAACGUUCGAACGUUUCUAAAUAUAUCCGUUCAAUUCGUAUCGAACCUUAGCAAAGAAUUCAACGAAUAUACAACCAGUGUUAUUUUUUCACUUAAACGGUAACCUAAAUUUUCGCGCAACAGGUAGAAACUUCUUGUAAGUAUAACCUGAAACAAAUUUUCAAACGUUUUUUACGUGACGGCAGUCGCACGUGGUAAAAAUUUCUCGUUAAUCGUUGUAAGUUAAUCGUACUUUCGAUUUUUGCAAUAACGUUGUAAAAUUGUGAACGGAAACACGUUUACCGCGACGCCAGUGAACUCACCGCGAGUGUUCUCGAGAAAGAGGAGAAAAAAGAAACAGAAACGAUCGUGGCAUUCGCAAGGAAAACGACACGCCACUGCCAGUGGACGCGCUACUGGACAUGAUGGCUUUAGGAAUUACAAUUACCAUGGUUCAUUGUUGGCUGUGAUGUGACAGGGUCGCGACGCGUAAAUACAUACAUAAUCGAACAAUGGAGUCUCUAUGAGCCUCGUCCCUCCUUCAAGUUUCCGCUUCCCUCCAACAUCCCUUGUAUC